rnacentral:rRNA from 1 species
GAUGAACGCUGGCGGCGUGCUUAACACAUGCAAGUCGAACGGUGAACACGGAGCUUGCUCUGUGGCAUCAGUGGCGAACGGGUGAGUAACACGUGAGCAACCUGCCCCUGACUCUGGGAUAAGCUCUGGAAACGGCGUCUAAUACUGGAUAUGUGACGUGACCGCAUGGUCUGCGUUUGGAAAGAUCUUUCGGUUGGGGAUGGGCUCGCGGCCUAUCAGCUUGUUGGUGGGGUAAUGGCUCACCAAGGCGUCGACGGGUAGCCGGCCUGAGAGGGUGACCGGCCACACUGGGACUGAGACACGGCCCAGACUCCUACGGGAGGCAGCAGUGGGGAAUAUUGCACAAUGGGCGGAAGCCUGAUGCAGCAACGCCGCGUGAGGGAUGACGGCCUUCGGGUUGUAAACCGCUUUUAGCAGGGAAGAAGCGAAAGUGACGGUACCUGCAGAAAAAGCGCCGGCUAACUACGUG